rnacentral:rRNA from 1 species
GCUACCUGCAGUCGAGCGGUAGCACAGGAGAGCUUGCUCUCCGGGUGACGAGCGGCGGACGGGUGAGUAAUGUCUGGGAAACUGCCUGAUGGAGGGGGAUAACUACUGGAAACGGUAGCUAAUACCGCAUAACGUCGCAAGACCAAAGAGGGGGACCUUCGGGCCUCUUGCCAUCAGAUGUGCCCAGAUGGGAUUAGCUAGUAGGUGGGGUAACGGCUCACCUAGGCGACGAUCCCUAGCUGGUCUGAGAGGAUGACCAGCCACACUGGAACUGAGACACGGUCCAGACUCCUACGGGAGGCAGCAGUGGGGAAUAUUGCACAAUGGGCGCAAGCCUGAUGCAGCCAUGCCGCGUGUAUGAAGAAGGCCUUCGGGUUGUAAAGUACUUUCAGCGGGGAGGAAGGUGUUGAGGUUAAUAACCUCAGCAAUUGACGUUGCCCGCAGAAGAAGCGCCGGCUAACUCCGUGCCA